ACUUCAUUUCGGAGAUAGCAGUGAUACUUUACUAGUCAUACAAUUUUAUCAAUGCUUAUUAGCAACACAGAUCCCCUACAGCAUUCAUAAACUUUUGAAUUAACAGUAGAAGCAGCAAUGUAAUCGUAUCUAAAGCCGUUAUGGCCACCAUAAAUUAUGCGAUCUCAAAUCCGAACAUAACCGGUGAGGGACACGGGGCCAGGCCACGGAGAAAGUGUUUAUUGUGUCAACUUCCUUUCAAAUCAGCUGCGGAUUUCACGAGUCAUUUAAGAGAUUUUCACUGUUCAAAAGAGGGUGGUUCUUUUGUUUGCAGGUAUGGACUGAAUAAUGUAUGUCCCUCCCUGCCGUUAGAGGGGGUGAGUGACAUGGACUAUGAAAACCACAUAGCUAGGGACCAUGUCCUUUCCCAUCAACAACGUGGUAUAGGUCAAAAGGACAGUGCUGGAGUGAUGGCAUUACAUGUGUCUGAUAAUCACAAAAAAGAGGAACCAAGUGUGGUCCAAGAUCAACACAAAUGGACAAUAUACAAAUCUUCUGUGAACCUUCCAGCGGCACUUAAUGAUCCUCUGCGUUCAAAGCGGGAAUAUGACUUUUUCACAAAAACUUGGGGUCAAGAUUUUUAUGAAAGAACAGAGGUUCCACCUUCGCCAUAUUUGGUUCACAUUUCAAGAGAGCAUUUUCAGAAGUAUAGACAUAGAGUAUCAAAGAGAUACAAGAAGCAUGUCCAUAAAUAUACUCAGUUCCUUCAAGAGUCUCCUGGUGGGGAAACCUUCUUACAGCAGCUUGAAAAGAACAGAGCUGAGUUACAACAGAUACCCAAACUCUUCCUUUUACCAAACUUUGAACUGGGAAAUAGUGAUACUUUCAAUGCUGUGUUUCCAUGGCAACAGAUUGAGUCAAAAAAUCAUUCCAAGCCUUCUGGUCCUACAUCUUCUGGACCGCAGUCGUCAAAGCUCCUCCAGGAAAAGUUGAGUCAUUACUUAGAUAUAGUAGAGGUGCACAUAGCCAAGCAAAUAUCGACCAAGUCCGACGCGUUUUUCCAGGCAAUGUCUCGUCAAGACAAACUCCAGGAGAACAUGCUACAGACAUGCCAGACAAUUAAACGACUGAGGGAGAGAGUGAAAACCAUUCAUGAAUAUCUGGCCAAAGGAUCUCUGAAGAUAAUCAAAUUGUAUCGCACAAGAGCUAAUUAUGCACAACUAUACAAAGUAGACUUUCUGAAUAUAAACCUUUAAUUUAUAAAGAUUAUAAUACAUGGUUGUAAAAUAAAAUAUGUACAGUUUAUCACCUACCUGGCAUUUUCUGUAAGGUAACAAUUAGAGUCAUACCUGGUAUUUUUUUGUAAGGUAGCAAUCAGUGUCAAACCUGGUAUUUUCUGUAAGGUCAAAAUCAGUGUCAUACCUGGUAUUUUCUGUAAGGUAACAAUCAGUGUCAUACCUGGUAUUUUCUGUUAAGUAACAAAAUCGGUGUCAUACCUGGUAUUUUCUGUUAGGUAACAAUUAGUGUCAUACCUGGUAUUUUCUGUAAGGUAACAAUCAGUGUCAUACCUGGUAUUUUCUGUUAGGUAACAAUCAGUGCCAUACCUGGUAUUUUCUGUUAGGUAACAAUCAGUGUCAUACCUAGUAUUUUCUGUAAGGUCACAAUCAGUGUCAUACCUGGUAUUUUCUGUAAGGUAACAAUCAGUGUCAUACCUGGUAUUUUCUGUAAAGUAACAAUCAGUGUCAUACCUAGUAUUUUUUGUAAGGUAACAAUCAGCGACAUACCUGGUAUUUUCUGUAAUAUAACAAUCGGUGUCAUACCUGGUAUUUUCUGUUAGGUAACAAUCAUUGUCAUACCUGGUAUUUUCUGUUAGGUAACAAUCGGUGUCAUACCUGGUAUUUUCAGUAAGGUCACAAUCAGUGUCAUACCUGGUAUUUUCUGUAAGGUAACAAUCGAUGUCAUACCUGGUAUUUUCUGUAAGGUAACAAUCGGUGUUAUACCUGGUAUUUUCUGUAAGGUAACAAUCAGUGUCAUACCUGGUAUUUUCUGUAUGGUAACAAUUUAAUUGCUCUUUUGUACUU